AUGCGCGUCUUACCAUGCAAGUCGAACGAGAACGGGAUAUAGCUUGCUAUAUUUGUCAGCUAAGUGGCGCACGGGUGAGUAAUGUAUAGAUAACCUGCCCUCUAGAAAGGAAUAACAGUUGGAAACGACUGCUAAUGCCCUAUAUGCCUUUAAUACAUAAGUAUGCAAGGGAAACGCUUUAGUGCUAGAGGAUGGGUCUGUAUGGUAUCAGCUUGUUGGUGAGGUAAUGACUCACCAAGGCUAUGACGCCUAACUGGUUUGAGAGGAUGAUCAGUCACACUGGAACUGAGACACGGUCCAGACUCCUACGGGAGGCAGCAGUGGGGAAUAUUGCACAAUGGACGAAAGUCUGAUGCAGCAACGCCGCGUGGAGGAUGACACAUUUCGGUGCGUAAACUCCUUUUAUAUAGGAAGAUAAUGACGGUACUAUAUGAAUAAGCACCGGCUAACUCCGUGCCAGCAGCCGCGGUAAUACGGAGGGUGCAAGCGUUACUCGGAAUCACUGGGCGUAAAGAGCGUGUAGGCGGGUAUAUAAGUCAGAAGUGAAAUCCUAUAGCUUAACUAUAGAACUGCUUUUGAAACUGUAUACCUAGAAUGUGGGAGAGGUAGAUGGAAUUUCUGGUGUAGGGGUAAAAUCCGUAGAGAUCAGAAGGAAUACCGAUUGCGAAGGCGAUCUACUGGAACAUUAUUGACGCUGAGACGCGAAAGCGUGGGGAGCAAACAGGAUUAGAUACCCUGGUAGUCCACGCCCUAAACGAUGUACACUAGUUGUUGUGAGGCUCG
rnacentral:rRNA from 1 species